rfam:Asian citrus Psyllid, Diaphorina citri - Florida Strain, whole genome shotgun sequence.
GGCUAGUUAGCUUAGUUGGUAGAGCGUCUGCCUUGUAAGCGCUAGACCGCUGGUUCGAUUCCCGCCCG